AAUUGUGUGCUCAAUUGCGACGCCCUGUGUUGAAUUUUCCCGCGAGUACAGUAUCAUUACUGAGGGGAAAUAUAACAUUAUUCAUUUAAUUCCACAAAAGGCCUGUAACGUACUGCAGCUUCCUGCAGGCAACGUGAAACAUUGCUGAGGGAGAACUUUAUUCACAACAAAAGGAUAAAGAUGAAGAGGAGGGACUUGAGCAGCUUGUGAUGGCUGUAAUUGUAAAGAAUGGAUCUUCUAGGAGUGGCAGCCCAAGGGAUACUGGAAUUGUUAUUGAGGCCUUAAAGGUGUUCACGGGGCAUGCUUUAUCCUUGGAUCUAUGCAUUGAAUCUCCAGUAUCCCAGGCAUCUUUUCAGGUGUUUCAGAAACUUUUCUUGGAGCUGGAUUCUUCAAAGUUUAUGAACUGAUUACAGUACAGUAAGUCUAAACUGCUGUCUGAUUUUCUGGGUGUGAAUCAAUGUAACAGGACACAAACAUGUAACCUUGUGGACGGGAAAUGUGGACGGUUUUCUUUAAAGACUGUAAAAUACUUUUUGAAUUGUACACUGUUACAAAUACAUCAUUAAAAUGAGAUGCUUUCCUGUUCUUUUGACUGCAAUAAAAUAAGAAUUGAUUCAUCUUUGUCUGUCAUUCUGAAAUCAGAUAUAAUACUCAUUACUAAUAAAAAUAUUAAUGGAUGAUGUUAAAUUAAAAUAGUAUAAUUGAAUAGAAUUUAUUGUAUAGUGCUAGGUCUUUGUCCUGUAUACCCAAUAUUUUGUUUAAAUUUAAAUUAAUUUCUAAUUGCAAAUUGCAGAUUACCUUUUUGAAUGGGUUACUAUUAAGGAGUUUAUGUAGUGAUUCUAACACAAUAUUUAUUUGUGGAAUUUAAUUAAUGAUAUUGCUUGUAAUCUGUUGCCACACUUUUAUUGAGUAGAUAUGGCAUAAUAUUUUUUAUUGUAUAGUGCUAGAUCUUUGUCUAGUAUACACAAUAUUUUUGUUUAAAUUUUAAUAAAAAUUGUAAUUGCAAAUUGCAGUUUGGCUUUUUGAAUAUGUAAAUAUUAAGGAGUUAUAG